AACGAACGCUGGCGGCAUGCCUAACACAUGCAAGUCGAACGAGACCUCCGGGUCUAGUGGCGCACGGGUGCGUAACGCGUGGGAACCUGCCCUUAGGUUCGGGAUAACUCCCCGAAAGGGGUGCUAAUACCGGAUAAUGUCUUCGGACCAAAGAUUGAUCGCCUUUGGAUGGGCCCGCGUUGGAUUAGCUAGUUGGUAGGGUAAAAGCCUACCAAGGCGACGAUCCAUAGCUGGUCUGAGAGGAUGAGCAGCCACACUGGGACUGAGACACGGCCCAGACUCCUGCGGGAGGCAGGAGUGGGGAAUAUUGGAAAAUGGGCGAAAGGAUGAUCCAGCAAUGCCGGGUGAGUGAUGAAGGCCUUAGGGUUGUAAAGCUCUUUUACCCGGGAUGAUAAUGACAGUACCGGGAGAAUAAGCUCCGGCUAACUCCGUG
rnacentral:rRNA from 1 species